rnacentral:rRNA from 1 species
UCAUGGCUCAGAUUGAACGCUGGCGGAAUGCUUUACACAUGCAAGUCGAACGGCAGCACGGGCAACCGUGGUGGCGGAGUGGCGAACGGGUGAGUAAUACAUCGGAACGUGCCCAAUCGUGGGGGAUAACGUAGCGAAAGUUACGCUAAUACCGCAUACGAUCUACGGAUGAAAGCGGGGGAUCGCAAGACCUCGCGCGAGUGGAGCGGCCGAUGUCAGAUUAGGUAGUUGGUGGGGUAAACGGCUCACCAAGCCAACGAUCUGUAGCUGGUCUGAGAGGACGACCAGCCACACUGGAACUGAGACACGGUCCAGACUCCUACGGGAGGCAGCAGUGGGGAAUUUUGGACAAUGGGCGCAAGCCUGAUCCAGCCAUUCCGCGUGCAGGAUGAAGGCCUUCGGGUUGUAAACUGCUUUUGUACGGAACGAAACGGCGAGCUCUAAUACAGUUUGCUAAUGACGGUACCGUAAGAAUAAGCACCGGCUAACUACGUG